rnacentral:tRNA from 1 species
UCCUGGUGACUGAGAUGAUAAAGAAUCUGCCUGUAAUGCAGGAGGACCCAGGUUCAAUUCCUGGGUCAGGAA